rnacentral:rRNA from 1 species
AGCUCCAAUAGCGUAUACUAAAGUUGUUGCAGUUAAAAAGCUCGUAGUUGAAUUUCUGGUCUCGAGACGCAGUCAACCCCAAGGGGUGAUACUGUGGAUUGGGACCAUCCUCGAGGAGAACAUAUCUGUCAUUGAGUUGAUGGGUAUGGGACCCUCGUCAUUUACUGUGAGCAAAAUAGAGUGUUCAAAGCAGGCUUACGCCGUUGAAUACAUUAGCAUGGAAUAAUAAGAUAGGACCUUGGUCUAUUUUGUUGGUUAUACUCCGAGGUAAUGAUUAAUAGGGACAGUUGGGGGUAUUCGUAUUCAAUUGUCAGAGGUGAAAUUCUUGGAUUUAUGGAAGACGAACUACUGCGAAAGCAUUUACCAAGGAUGUUUUCA